ensembl:lncRNA
CAAGGUUGCAAAUACAAUUAUUAUUAAAAAUCUACCCUGCAAUUUUUCUAUCAUCCUUUUUAGAGUACCGUGCAUGAUUUUGGCCAAUCAUAAGAGUGUUUGUGUGUGGUUUUUUUUUAAUGUUUAUUUAUUUUUGAGAGAGAGAGAGAGAGUGCAUGCAUGCACACAGCUGUGAUGACAGCAGAGAGCCUGAUGCAGGGCUCAAACUCAGGAACCGUGAGAUCAUGACCUGAGCCAAAGUCAGAUGGUCAACCGACUGAGCCACCCAGGCUCUCCAAGUGUUUGCAAUUUACUUUUAAAAAGAGUGAAAAAUCCUGUGUUCUGUAUCUCUUGCCCUACCAUCUUGUAAAUCUGCGCAUUCCAAAUAGAUGACCACUUUGAUGGCAGGAGGAUGUUCUCUGAAGUUCAGUUUUCGCUUCUUGUCAGUCUCCUGCUUCACUUCAUAGAAAACCCUUGUGAUGCGUUUCUUUACUAGCAGAAGCUCUUACGUGCCGCUCCCUCAGGUUUGCGCCCGGCUCUCAAAACGAAGGGAAUGAUUUCCUGUAGUGAGUCCAGAUGUUGUGUUCAGCACUAUUGCAAUUAGCCAUCAAGUCUGAGAGCUGUAUGAAAUUACGUCUGUCUUUGAGGCCUGGGAGGGAAGACGAUUUGGUAAUAGUUUAACGUCCGUUGGGUGAAAUCGUUGACAUUGGGGAAGAACUACUGCCUCCAUGAACGAGGAUCCUACGCGGCACCUUUUCGGUUCAUUUCUGCGCUCCAUUUACAUGGGUGUUUAACACGAAUGUGCUUUUAAAACACAUAACAAUUUCCUGAAAACCUAAGUAACUGGCAAAUGGUUAGAAUAAUUAAUAAGGCAGAUGUUUUUGUGUUUUGUCUUCUGUACGCAGCUUGGAGAGAAUGGGAACAAUUUCGGCUGGCAAAGCUUGCUUGGAUUCCCCUUUCCUCUUGGUCUGGGGGGAGGGCAGGGGAACACAGAGAGAGAGAGGGAGAGAGAGGUGUUUAAAGUUCCCUGCCAUCUGACGUCACCCGUGCUGCUGCAGGUGAUUUACAUGCCACAUGGUCUCCACCGUCUGUGUGCUGUAACUCGGUAACUCAGUGGUAGCUUGACCUUCAACAGCUGCUGAACCUCCUCGUCUCUGCACAGGGGUAGAAGAGGCCAUUAUUGCAAGGAAAGAACAUGUGGCUUUCCAAAUGGCAUGAAAUACAUCUAUUGCGACCAGAUGAAUUACAUAUUCAUGAAAACUGUGUAACGGAAGACUACUCCGCUUGCCAGGCAGUCACCUUGGCCGAGCGCAAGGCUCGGUAAACAAUGCAAAGCUCUGGCUCCCUCAUUUAUUUACCUUGCCAGUCAACGUGCGCAGUGCUGGGGCAGGUUUCUACGACCAGCCACGAGAGGAAAGCUGGGAAGAGCUCUGCGUUUCCAAGGAAAACUGAAUUCCAUGAUGCUUACAUUUUUAUUUCGUAUCAACAAAUAUUGUUUGGACGUCCAUUAUUCUAACAGUAUCCGAACAAAAUUGUAAUACUGUAUUAUUAGGAAAGUUUCUGCAAAUGCUGGGAAGCUUCCCCUCCCCCCCCCCCCAUUAAAUAAAUAUCCAAUUAGUGUGUGUAAAACGACUCCC